rnacentral:rRNA from 1 species
AGGACGAACGCUGGCGGCGUGCUUAACACAUGCAAGUCGAGCGGUAAGGCCUUUCGGGGUACACGAGCGGCGAACGGGUGAGUAACACGUGGGUGAUCUGCCCUGCACUCUGGGAUAAGCUUGGGAAACUGGGUCUAAUACCGGAUAUGACCACAGUGCGCAUGUGUUGUGGUGGAAAGAUUUAUCGGUGCAGGAUGGGCCCGCGGCCUAUCAGCUUGUUGGUGGGGUAAUGGCCUACCAAGGCGACGACGGGUAGCCGACCUGAGAGGGUGACCGGCCACGACUGGGACUGAGACACGGCCCAGACUCCUACGGGAGGCAGCAGUGGGAAUAUUGCACAAUGGGCGGAAGCCUGAUGCAGCGACGCCGCGUGAGGGAUGGAAGGCCUUCGGGUUGUAAACCUCUUUCAGCAGGACGAAGCGUGAGUGACGGUACUGCAGAAGAAGCACCGCUAACGUACGUGCCAGCAGCCGC